GGGGAUCGCAUUCUCCACACAAGAGUUGCAGCACUCUAAAGCUCCCCUUGGCCUUCUCUGGUGAUUCCUGCACACUCUUAGACACACGCUUUCAGCCGUCUAACUCAGGACCAAGACGUCCCACCUGCAGGUGAGCAGCGGAGGCAAGCCUGAGAAAAGUUAUCGAUACGCGCGGAUCAGCUGGAAUCCAUAGGCGUUCAGAGGACAGGAACGGGACAGGACACGCACCCUCAACUCACACAGCAGCACCACAGACAUGUCGGACUCUGAGACCGCCGCUGCCCCCGCUGAAGCCCCCGUCCCUGCUGCUUGUGCCAGCAUCAAGGCUGACCUGGACAAAUGUGUGGCAGAGAAGGGAGCCGAGGGCUGCAAAGAUCUGAUGGAGGCCUUUGCUGCUUGUGUGAAGAGUGCGGCUGAAGGGACGUCAUGAGGAGCUGCCCUCCGACCUCAAAUGUCCACUGCACUGAGUCCUCCAAGUUCCCAGCAUUCCCUUCUGCACAACAGCACCGGAAUGAGAGAUGACGAUGAUGAUCAUGGCGUGACAAACGUGUUGAUUUGGGCUGAGUUUGGGAUCUGGCAGCAGUAACCACAGUUUCCUCCCCCUGUCCUUCCCCCUGUUUUUGGCUCAUCUGGUGUCCCUCCGUCUUACCGCCAUUCCCCUUCUCCCUCUAUGGCUGACGUACAGUACAUCGACUUGCAAACAAUUCCAGAGAGCCGAUGAGCUGUAAUGUAAAUUGUCGACCUGAGAUGAAUACUUAUAAAUGGAAAUAAAAGUAUCAAGGUAAUUGGUAUA